GAUAAGCAUGGGUAUAAAAUGUUUGGGCUUAGCUUUGCUUGGGUUGUUUAACAUACAAACAGCUCAUUGUUCAACCCUAAAGGCGCAACUGACAGAAGUCACCCUGGUUGAGCUGCUGCCAGAGUAAAUAACGGAGGCUGCUAUGAGGGAAAGGCACACCCACCCAUGUGAUGACAGAGUCGAAAGAAUGGAGGCACCAAGACCUUGGGGGAAUCCUCGGUGGCUUCAUUGUAGUUGCCGUUGGCUUCACAGUCAUGGUCCCGCGAUACAGAUGACAGAGCUAAUUGUAGGGCUUGGAACACCAGUGCUGAGAAAUGUUGUGAAAAUAGUGCUUAAAGCAUGCGGGUGGCACUGACCCCAAUAUCAGUGUAUUUAUUAUGUUGAAUGAAACCAGCGCCGCUCUAUAGACUCUGUUUGAAUGCUGGUUGCAGUUGAGCUCUGCCAACUUCAACUAAUAAGAAAGAAAAAAAAAUGUUUUCAGAAGACUGCUCAUUGAGGAUAUACAGUAGCGAGGACUAUUGAGUACCGAAGUCUAUGGUAAAUAAGUUGGGAUUGUCUGGUGAACUCAUUUGAUGCCCUAAUAACAGCAGCAAUAUGUAACAAUUUACACAAAGUGCAACUGUUUGGUAUAGGAUUAAUUUGCCAGAUUAUGGGUGUUUGUGCAUAUGUGACAGUGGCAUGUGUUUAUGGACGUGAAGGCAUCUGUGUUACAUAAUUUUCCUUUAUUUAGCAAGAGGCUGAAUGUAUCUCACCAGAGAAAGCAUCCGAGCGAGCAAAACAGCACCCCUCUAAGUAUGUGUAGCCCAUCUAUCUGAUGCUGUCUGUUCAAAAAAAGCAUGAUAUUGUUGCCGCCCAUAACAUUGAAUGCAAGGCAAGCCCGUGAGCAUUUGGCCUCCUGUGAUAAAGUAUAAAAUAACAGCCAAUCAGCAUUGAGCUCAACUGUGAAAGGUCCUGGCGCACCAACAAAAAUGUGUCGUGGGAAGCCCGUUUGGAUUUGGCUUCACCCAAAUCACAUCAAAAGCAAAACUUGAAUUGUUGCUUCAUGUUGUCUUCUGGUGGCUAGCUAAAAUGGUAAAUUUUCUACAUUAGCCAUGGAUGGAGUUAGGGAUUUGGACCUGUGGUUUUACUUCAUUCCCUGUACUGGCCAAUGAUUAUAACAACGAUUCUGAUCCCACCAUAUAUUCAUACAUUGUGCCCCUGGCCUGAGAGGAUGGAAGUUCAAUAUGUAGUAGGCUAAUGUUAGCCUAGCGGGCAAGCAUUUUAGCAAGGUAACCUAGGCUAAACCUUUUUGUCAACAUGAAAGAGGAUGGCAUUGGCUUUUCUCUACAAGUAGGGUGAGUCAACAUAUUUUGUCUACUUGUACACAUACAGGGAGAGAGAGAAAUCAGAACCAUGCAAGUCAUAUUUAGCUUACAUUGAUUGGACUAAAUUGUUUUGGAUUUUUUAGAACUGGUGCUCAUAGUGGAGGCAGAUCCUGUUUUCUUUGACUUGCGGUAAGUAUCUGUGGUUCUAAAUCAAUAGUUGUUUAGUAGUCCGAAAAUGUUGGAAACAUUUAACUUGCUUGAACAUGCUGUAUGUAGGUCAUGUAACUGUUUGUCCCAUGCAAUAUUGCAAUAUGCUCUCUGGUUUUCUGACGAAACAAAUGUGGUUGUCUUCUUAUUGUCUUGGCAAUGCAUAUGAACUAACAGGCAAAUGAGCAAACAAUGCAAUUAUCACAACACAGGUUGUAAUAUGGCUUUUUUUGUGUGUGUGUGUGGAGGUAGGGACCAACCACAUAACGACUUCAAGCUUACGAGAGGCCUAGUGAAAAGAGGAAAAGACUAGCUAGUGUUUCACAAUUUUUAUAAACAUUUUAUUCAUUACAUUUUAAUUCCUUGGGACAGACCUGCACUGUCAAAUGAAUAAUAUAUCAAACUGAGUUUUAAAUGCAAGAAUAAAGAUGUUUAUUUGAACAUCAUGGUGCCCAAAAGUUCAUAGUGCAGAAAUAAAAGGUGACAACACACAAUUUUAUCAAGCAAUCAGUGUAAAUGGUUGGCACACACACAUGGCUAUAUUUAAAGGAAAAUUGCAUGUCACAUGAUCAAAAAUGAAAAUCCAUCAGAAAAAAAUAUGAAAUGUCUGAAACAUUCCCUUGACAGGCUAUUACAUUGGCAGCCUUUGAAUGUUGUUCCAAGUGUGUGCUUGUGUGUGAGCGCACUUGUAUCUGUGUAUGUGUAGCCCAUGCCUGCAUACGUUUGUGGUCUAACUGCAAUAACCAUCCGGCAUUCAACAAUAAUCAUGUAUCUCCCAAACUAAAGUACAUACAUUUCAUUAACAACUCAUGUUCCAUUGAUGUGCACAGUCAAUAGCCUUUGCAUUUUGCUGCUGAGAAAGCUUCAAUUCAAGCACUAAUAGUACACCAAUAGACUUGUUUCCUUUUUUGACCAAAGUCUUACUGAUCAGUACUUGAAGUGUCAAGGGUGUGUAAACUUGGCUGCUUUACUGACCUCUCUGACAGAACCUCUGCCCCAUUGGGCUAUUGGGUCAAUCAGGGUCACGACUUAGCGAUGAGAGGUCAAAGGGUUCAAGUCUAUUGACUAAUCUUGCCUGAUCCUGGGCGUUUUGCCACUCUAGGCGAGACACAAAAAUGACACCCUCUACCCCCGCAAAACUAGAAUAUUGUAGCCCUACAGUGUCACCGCACAAUGGAAUUUUAUGAAUGCACAUUCAUGUGUGGUGCCUACCGUUUGUAAAAUGGGCAGUUGCUUUGGAUUUAUUUGUCCUGAUUCCUGUGACUAAUAAUGUUGGCGAUUAAAGCUAUAUCAGCCUGAGCCUAUUUGCAAUGACAAAUGUGUUUACACAAAACAAAUACAAACUUGAUUAUUGAUUAUCAUGACAAUUUUAGCCCACCGGGUGAAACUUCUGGAUAGCUGUUGUGAAUAGCUUGAUUUUCUGUUCCAUAUUGCCCAUUUUACUUUGACAUAUCCUGUAAUUGGAUAUGGUUUUGGAUAAGCACUUUUUUGAUUGGGGGACAUUUAAUAUUUGGUCCCGCUUUAAAUGACCUGCAGCUUAUAAAGGUUUCAUAAAGCCUUCAUAAACACUACAUAAAUGUGUUACAAAUCAUCUGUAUCCAUAUAUCAUGCUUUAUAAAGGGUUCAUAAAAUGUGGCAUAACUGUGGGACAUAACCACCCAU